rnacentral:rRNA from 1 species
AGAGUUUGAUUCUGGCUCAGAACGAACGCUGGCAGCGUGGAUUAGGCAUGCAAGUCGAACGGGAUCCGGGUUUAUAGCAAUAUAGAUCUGGUGAGAGUGGCGGAAGGGCGAGGAACGCGUGGGUAACCUGCCUCUAAGUUUGGGAUAACUCCCCGAAAGGGGUGCUAAUACCGGAUGUGGUCGGGUUUGCACAAGCAGAUUCGAUCAAAGACGGGGAUUCUUCGGAACCUGUCGCUUGGAGAGGGGCCCGCGUCCCAUCAGCUAGUUGGUGAGGUAACGGCCCACCAAGGCUUACGGGUAGCUGGUCUGAGAGGAUGGUCAGCCGCACUGGGACUGAGACACUGCCCAGACUCCUACGGGAGGCUGCAGUCGAGGAUCAUUCGCAAUGGGCGAAAGCCUGACGAUGCGACGCUGCGUGGAGGAUGAAGGCCUUCGGGUCGUAAACUCCUGUCAUGUGGGAAAAAUGGCGGCCGGAUUAAUACCCCAGCCGCGUGAUGGUACCACAAGAGGAAGCCACGGCUAACUCUGUGCCAGCAGCCGCGGUAAUACAGAGGUGGCGAGCGUUGUUCGGAUUUACUGGGCGUAAAGGGUGCGUAGGCGGACUCGUAUGUCGGAUGUGAAAUCCCACAGCUCAACUGUGGACGGUCAUCCGAAACUGCGAGACUAGAGUGCAGGACGGGAGAGCGGAAUUCUUGGUGUAGCGGUGAAAUGCGUUGAUAUCAAGAGGAACACCGGUGGCGAAGGCGGCUCUCUGGAACGCAGCUGACGCUGAGGCACGAAAGCGUGGGGAGCAAACAGGAUUAGAUACCCUGGUAGUCCACGCUGUAAACGGUGUGCACUUGGUGUUGGAGGUAUUGACCCCUCCAGUGCCGGAGCGAACGCGUUAAGUGCACCGCCUGGGGAGUACGGCCGCAAGGUUAAAACUCAAAGAAAUUGACGGGGGCCCGCACAAGCGGAGGAGCAUGUGGCUUAAUUCGAUGCAACGCGAAGAACCUUACCAGGGCUUGACAUGUAGCUGCAGGCCCCGUGAAAGCGGGGCGGCCUUCGAGGGUGCUACACAGGUGCUGCAUGGCUGUCGUCAGUUCGUGCCGUGAGGUGUUGGGUUAAGUCCCGCAACGAACGCAACCCCUGUGUUCUGUUGCCACUCCCGAUGAUAAGUCGGGAAGCACUCGGAACAGACUGCCUGUAUAAGCAGGAGGAAGGUGGGGAUGACGUCAAGUCAGUAUGGCCCUUACGUCCUGGGCUGCACACGUGCUACAAUGGCCGGUACAGAGGGCUGCGAAGCCGCGAGGCGGAGCUAAUCCCGUAAAACCGGCCCCAGUUCAGAUUGCAGGCUGCAACUCGCCUGCAUGAAGUUGGAUUCGCUAGUAACGGCGCAUCAGCUACGGCGCCGUGAAUACGUUCCCGGGCCUUGUACACACCGCCCGUCACAUCAUGAAAGCCGUCUGCACCCGCAGUCGCUGAGCCAACCCGCAAGGGAGGCAGGCGCCGAAGGUGUGGGUGGUGAUUGGGAUGAAGUCGUAACAAGGUA